rnacentral:rRNA from 1 species
AACGAACGCUGGCGGCGUGCCUAACACAUGCAAGUCGAACGGAGAUAAGGGGCUUGCUCCUUAUUUUAGUGGCGCACGGGUGAGUAACGCGUGGAUAAUCUGCCUGAUGCUCUGGGAUAACAUCUCGAAAGGGGUGCUAAUACCGGAUAAGCCCACGGGUUCUUUGGGAUCUGCGGGAAAAGGGGGGGACCUUCGGGCCUUCUGUCAUCAGAUGAGUCUGCGUACCAUUAGCUAGUUGGUAGGGUAAUGGCCUACCAAGGCUACGAUGGUUAGCUGGUCUGAGAGGGUGAUCAGCCACACUGGAACUGAGACACGGUCCAGACUCCUACGGGAGGCAGCAGUGGGGAAUUUUGCGCAAUGGGCGAAAGCCUGACGCAGCAACGCCGCGUGAGUGAUGAAGGCUUUCGGGUCGUAAAGCUCUGUCAGAGGGAAAGAAGUGUAUUGUGGCUAAUAUCCACGAUACUUGACGGUACCCUCAAAGGAAGCACCGGCUAACUCCGUGCCAGCCGCCGCCGUAAUAC